AGAAGCUUCAGAGCCUCUGAAGAGAUACUGUGGUGGAAAAUGCUGUCAACAUGGCCUCUUGCUCCCUCCUAUUGGGAAAAUACAGCUCAGUGCAGAGGGGGAGCCCCGGCCUCUGUCCUGUUUUUCAUCACGAAGGGGAGCAUCUCACCGCCUGCUGCUGUGGCUGCGACGAGACGAGACGAAGGCUGAAAUAGUUUAAGGACACUGGGGAGAGGGCCAGGAGGUGAGGCGUGCGGAGGGAAGCUCAUAAUGGGGGUGCAUUCAGACCCCUCUCCAUUGGGAACGCUCCGCUCCACCGCUGCCAUGGUGUCCCCUCCACACAGUCUCCAACUGUUCAUCUCAAAGGCAGGGC